UUUUGUUUCAGCAGCUCCCUGGCUCCUGCACAUGCAAACAUUUGAAUUUCCUGUUGGCUCAGAGUGUUUGCAUGGCAAGUGACAUCUGGCUGACAGGAACUUGGAGAAAUGGGAUCCGAAGCGAAUGCUGCAGUUAUCACAGUAUCAUAUUUGUCAAACGGCUUAAGCAUCCAGGACACCUUUCUCAGAAGCCAGUGAGUGGUUUUACACCCUGAAUAGUUUUGAACAGAACUCCAUGAAGUCUCUGUAUCCUAUGCCAAAAUGUAUGACAUGCAUUCAGUGUGGAGAAAGAAGACAAAGAAACAUUCUCAAAUGGGAGAUCAUCUGACAAGCAAAGUAUUUACUGAAUAUAGCCAGGGAUUAAUGCAAGGACUGUACAACUGCCAUGAUGCCCAAUGGAAUCUAUAACAACUUUAUGAUACCUGACGUAUUACUUCAGCAGCAAAUUCAACAAGGCCAAGAUGUCUUCAUUUUCCUUCAGAGCAAGAGCUGUAGGAGCAGUGUGAUGGAAGUAUUGGUCUUCUGUGGCCAGCCAGAGAAAACCCAUCAACAGCUGUGAUGAGCAGAGCAGACAUGGGGAGACAGGAGGCAGCUGAAGCCAAAGAGGACCCACGCCUGGAGCUGUGUGUGUGUGAUUGGAGCAGAGAGAGGCCAGGACCCAAGGAAAUCCCAGCAGCAAGGGGAAAAAACAGAUUGACUCUCAGUGACUCAUUUAGCUCCUGGAUUGGACAGAUCUCUCCCCUGCUGGCAAUUUGGCUGAGCAUCAAUGGACAGAUACCAGGAUGAAUAGCUUAAAAUAAUUAGGGGUUGGGAAUCUGCAAAACUGCUAGCCAUCCAGUUCUUUACUGUGCAAUAUGAGGCACAAAAAAGAAAUUACAUUUAGGUUAUUAAAUAUUAAGUCGGUGGAUUUACCUCCAUUUGGUCCAGAACAGGAAACUGGCUGAAAUUCAACUUUUAUAUCAGUGUGUUGAUGGUCUGUUUAUCACUGAACAAGUGAGUGCUUUUUGGCAGGUCAGGCUCUUUGACACAUGGGGCAAAUGUGUGCUUAAUUUCUCCCAAACAGAAGAAUUAAUGUAAUAAUAAUUAACACAGAUGAGAACAGAAUGAAAUCAAGUACAGUCUAGAGUUCAGUUUAAUGCCAGGCAUCUCACAUUUGGGGGGUUCUGGGACCAGAGUUUUUCUAUGGAAGAGAGAGAGGGUUUUGCCGUGGGUGCUUAUGGGAGCUGGAGUGGGCCUUGAAUGCAGAGGCAGAAUUCCUUGUACUUUCUGUUUAAUGCUCAAAACCAGAAGCAACAGGCUCAUUUAGUAUCAGUAAAGGUCAGUUAAAAUUAUAGAGACAUCCUUUGGAGCAAAUCCUCUGCCUUGUAUUUGCAUAUUUAUGAAUUAGAGAUUAUGACAGGCUAUUUCAUUUAUUAGAGCAGCACCGCUAUAGUUAAUAGUCUGUCAGUAUUUCCAUUAUAAACCCCGUUUUUCAGUGGUUUAAUAUCUCAGCCAUUUAAAAUCACAUCAGGAUGCAAGCUGCUCCUGUGCUGUUGGCCAGGUGCAGUUUUUUGGUACAGAUUAUUUUCAGUAAUGAAAUACUGUUCAUCAUAUAUGCAAAUGAGCCAUAACAUUUCUGCUGGGGGGACAUAGCAAAGUGCCCAAGUUCAUUGUGGCUUUGUUUUCCUUUAGGAAAGAAGGGAAAAGAGGGAUUUAUCAUGUCAACUGGAGCUUCAUGUUUGAAGAACAGCUUCUCAAGCACCUGCUUUCAGAAGAAACACUGGUCCUCAAUGUGAAAUCAGGUUGCUGUGUGCACACAAGGUAUACCCACAAGGAUGGAUCCCCUGUCCCUCAGAAAUUGCUUCUCUGCCAGUCAUGGGAGAAGCACACCAGGUAAGAAAGCAGUGAAAAUAAGAGCCCUUAGAAGUAACAGAAACCCCCAUUGCAAAUUCAAAACCCUGGCCUCUCUUUAAGUGUCUUCCUGAUGCAGAGAAGUGCACUACUGUGCUGACUUUACUGCUGGUGUUUGGGGUAGGAAAAGGGGAUUGCUGAGGUUUUGGGGAGUUGUGAAGCUACCUUGCAUGUGUCCCUGAACCUGAACAGUAAUGUUUACUUCAGCAGUCUCGCAUCCUGCUCCUUCCAAACAGCCUGGAUUUGCUUUCAUAGAGGUAUUGGUUCACUAAGAACCUGUCAGGGGCAAAUGUUUAGAUUGAAAUGCCAAUUUUUAAUUUAUCAGGGCAGCAGAAAGUUACCCUUCAGUGAAAAAGGUGGUCUUGCACUAUAACCUCUUGUGCCAUGAAAAGAGAAACAGUGCAGUAAGAAACUCCUGGGCAGUGAUUUGUUCUUCCUUUAUGGCCUUGAAAAAUCAUUUGCUGCCACAGUGCCUGAAAAGUUAAAAAUCAAAUUCAUGAAGAAGAAAACAAAGCAAUGAAGUUAUGUGCAAAAUGUUUGUUGCUCUUUGCUGUUGCCCAGCAAACACAUGGCUGGAGGUGAGGACACAGUCCAUCUUUUCCAUCGUAAAGGGCUAUACGCACAGCUGGGGAUUCCAGAGAAACUAACAGUAGCAGGUCAGAAACACUAUUGAAGCAUCAUGUAUGAUCCACUUGGUACGCAGCAGCAUAAAACUAUGCCCUGGGCAAGAUUCAGGGCUUGGCCUCUGUGCCACCUUCUGUGGAUUGUGACUAAAUUCAAAUGAACAAGUUUAGAAGUAAGACAUGGUUGCAACAAGAAGUGUGUGAUCUUAAAGACUCCACAUCCAAAUGGUGAGCAAGACUUUGCAUCUGGCCUCUCAUGUCUAUUGUGAGAACCAAGAGCCCAGAUCACGAUCAAGACACUCCAACUGAACUUGUGGAAAAUCUGUUCCAAAUCCAAGGGGCUUAGGCUCAUCAGUACACUUUGAAACACCAGUAUUUGGGAUAUUUUUUUAGGUAAUUGCUCACUUUAAAUUGCAUAUUCCAGAUUCCUUCCAGAAUUGCCAUUGUGAGGAGCAAUCUUCCUUCCUCAGGCAUGUCACAGUGCUUUUUCCGCCAAAUAUUAACUCUAGUCAUGAUAAGCGAUCAUAACUCAGAAGUAGGCAGAAAUUCUAACUUGAAUACAGAAUUACUUGAACAGCUUUAUAAAGCAGGUGGAACCCAGAGUAACUGUGGGGGAGAGAGGCUCUGCCAAAUGUGUGUAAAAUGUGCGAAGUACUCUGUGCUGUCUGCUGGAAGUUAAGUCCGUGCUUAGUAAGCUGUAUGAACAGCAUUGUUCGUAUAUUUGUUAUGUUUUGGAUUCAGUUUGCAGUGACAUAAAAUCUUGCAUCACCGAUGUGAGUGCAUCUUUGAAUAUUAAAACCACUAAUUAUUAUGUAAUUAGUCAACAGGAUGUGUGUAAUUGUGUAAUACCAGCAUUCUUGGGUGUGGUGAAGCAUGCAGGUAGAAAGCCAACACUCAUCUAGACGGAGUAUUAUGAAAUUACACAACAUGCACUCUGGGUGGGUACUCUAAUUGUAUUUGACAUUUAAACAAUGGCUACAUUAGCAAAAUCAAACUUUUUCUUUAAAAAGUAUCUUCCCACAGGCUCAGAUCAUAGUAGUUGGUGGGGAUAAUGUUGCCCAAAUAGAGAGUCAUCUGUCUCCCAAGGGACCCAGGCUUCUUCAUGAACAUACAAAUAGGAGUCAGAAACCAGGCAUAAAGAGCCCUUCAUCCAUUCGUGGCAAGAAGCCACCCCAAAACAGACAUGUGACAAUUGCAGAGUCAUGCAUCAGAAAAACUGAAUGCAGAAAAUUAACAGGAAGAACUUUCUGUCUCGUGAAGAAUCACAUGAGAUUAACCAGAACUGUUACAUUUUUACCACUUAACAGGCAUCAGGACCAUCCUUAAACCUGGUGGAAACAGAGCCGCAAGAGUGAAUCCGAUUCUUCUUUGAACUUACCCAGGAACAUCUAGGUUACAGCUAUCAAAUGUCUUGAGCAUUUUAGUUAACUCUAAAUCUCUGCGAAGACCUUCACUGGGGCCAGCCCUACAGCCAUGGUAAGAUUUGCAGUACAGACAAAAAAGGUGGAUCGUUCUUUUACAUGGCUCACCAGUAUUUUCUCUCUUUUGGUAUGGAUCCAAGGUGAAAAAUCCAGGAGAAGAAUGGAAAGGUGUUUUCAGAUCUACUGUGUUUGCACAAGUUCCAGAAAGCUCAUGGUAAAGCAGUUGCUUUUACCUCUCAGAUUCAAGCCCAUUAAAGGAUUUGACGAAAGCUGUUCAGUGCUGUGGGCAAAGAACAAACGUGAUCCAUUUAGUAACUAAGAAGCAUCACACUCCAAGUGUGAAACUUGCAUGAAGGAGAUGAGAAUCAAGCCCAGAGGGAACAGAGGAGCUGCAAUGCAGGAACCAGUCCUUCCUGUGAAACAUUUAAGUGAGGGAGAAGAGCUUUCAGAGCUAUCUAAGAGUUAACUGGCUACAUUUCAACUGUCACCAUUGUCUUACAUCUACAUAGAGAUGGGAGGAGAGCCAGAGAGGUCUGUGUUGGGAAUGGACUGGAGAUUUAAACUCUGACUCAGAGCAGGAGAAACGAGGAUCCAUUAAUUCUUACAAAAAAAAAAAAAAGCCAUUUCAAGCCAUAGCCCUAACAUAAAUGAAUUUGGCAUGUUCAGGAGUGGACCAUCACUUCCGUGAUGAGAUCAAUGGAUACAAUUUAAGCUUUGACUGCUGCCAUCCUCCUGUGCUUCCAUGAGAGAUACCAUUGACCUGCACCUUUGCAUUGAGUCGCCAAUUUAAAGACAACUACUGCUUGAUAGUGCACACAAAAUGAAGUAUUAGUCUUGGUUAUGGCUUAAGUGUCUAGAGACUGAGACCUUCACUGGCCCCAUGCAGAAGGCCAAGGACUGACAAAAGCACCAGCAAAAGAGAAGUCCCAAGAGGUUAAGGGAAGGGGCAUUGCAGACUAAUAAACUCCGUUACUACAAGGAGAACUUUGUUCAACUUCUGAUGCCAAGAAGGACAGCCUGGACUGGCAGGUACUUAGCACUUCUGAAAUGCAAGCUCAAGGCAGGCUGUGUUGAAUGUCUAAGCUUGGGGAAGUCUUUCUGGAAACCUGAUGGAAAAUACUAGCUCAAAUAUUACUGCUCCUCCAGCAAUCAGUGGAACUAUUAAUUAACCUGAGGGCAGUCCCUGGCCCACUGCAAGCACAGCAGGAUCCAUGCAAGGGGCAGGGGAUGAUGAAGAUUUGGACUUGCAUUCCAGAAAAGAUGUCCACAAAGGGACACACUUCCCCCUGAGGAGCUGUUGGGUCACACUGACACCGCUGCCGCCUACCACAGAUGGUUUUCAGCCUGUAUCACUCAUCACUAUGACACAGCACUUCUCACAUCACGUUCUUAAUGCAGCACUGAGCUCGUUCAGUUGCUCCCUGAAUCUCUCCAUGUAACCUGUGGUGUGUCAGCAAGGCUGUAUCAUAUCAGUCCUUCAGAGCUGUCAGUGCUGCUAGCGGUUAGACCCUACUCGUGACAUGGCCUUCUGUAAGUUUUGUCUGUUCAGAGGACAUCUUGAGCUCUGCUACGCACCCCAUCAGCUCUCUAAGCGGGAGAGUGGAGAUCAAGCACAUCUGUGAGAAGGGUGACUGGUUGGGAUCACAUCUGAGAAGCACCACACUCACUGAUGAGCAGGUUAGAGAAGAAACUGUGCUUUGCUACUCAUGGGACGA